rnacentral:lncRNA from 1 species
UUGGACACUUGUGUGAUGAAAUCAAACAUAUAAGGGGUGGAGAAAAAGAUACUUUGCUGCAGGCACCAUACCCUCCCACCCCUCCCUCCCAAAUCACAGCAAUCUUCAUGGAGCUCCUGAUACAGAGACCCAUGUGACAUGAUUUUCUCUCCCACCAGCUAUUGGCAGUCUGGUAUCAAGGUUCAGAGAAGGUUACUUUCCUGUUUUGGCCUGAUUUCUCACAGGCAGAAACACUGGGUGGGGAUGGAGGUGUUUGAUGCUGCACUCAGCCAGGACAUUCAUUCAUCCUUCCAGCACCGUCAUCAGUGUUGAUGCCUUCAUGCUGCUAAGAAGAUGAGAGACAAUUCCCAGCAUUCCAGAGAUGGGAGAAAACCCUCUCUACAACUAAAGAAACUUCCGGCAGUCCCUCAGGGAACCUGUGAUGGCGUCAUUCAGCUUUGUAGUUUUUCCUGUAUCAGCCCCCUUGGUAAGGAGAUGCCCCUCAGGCCAGCCAGGGAGAGGGUGAGGUGUGCAGUACUGCCAAAUGGGCAGCAGAGGUGUUGCUGUGCCCCCUACCUUGUUCCUGUCCUGUGGGCAUAGGCCAUAUGUAUGGCAAAGACCUGUUUACACCACUUUCCUGGAAUGAACUUGGCUUCUCAUCAAUUCAGCCUCAAGAUUCAGAAAAGACCACUUCCAGUCACGUCAAUGGCAGAAUUCUGCAUUUGAGUCAACUUCCAGACAAAUCUCCCUCGGCCUUGGUGAACUCUGGGAACCAUCUGCAUAACUCCAAUAGCUUGUGUUCCCCACAAGUCACAUUCCAGCCUAAGUGUCUCAGCUCAUCAAAAACUUGCACAUGGCAAUCUUACGGGUGGUAGAUGGUUUUCUAUCUUAUGUCACAUAUGCCUUGGAAGCUGUCAUCAAAGUGUGAGAGCCAGAUCUUUUUCUUAGCUGUUACACAUACCUCAGUGCUGAAAGACUUGAUUUUGUAGCUUGGUACCUCAGCGUUGACUUAGGUGCUCCACUAGCCCACCUUUCUCUAAGAAUUGAAGUCUGUAGUCUAUCUCCAAGGCACUGGAGGUAGGGUCAGUGAUCUAACACAACCUUGAACUUGACUGAUUCUCUCAGGCAUUUCUUACCAGCUUGGUGGCACUUAAGCAAUAUCCUUGUCCAACAGUCACCAAAAUCUCAUGAUUCUUAACACUUGUGCUUGAGCUGAUUUCUGUGCUAUAUCUGCUUGGGCCCAUGAGGCCCUGCCCUGAGGCUACAUGUACAACCAGACUAACCUGUGAAAAGGCUCUCUCAGACACAGGUGUCCCUGCUCUUAGUACUACUUGGGUUAUGGUAGGCAGGACACACACAUACCCAGCAGAAGGGAAAUUAAAGUCACUAAUCACAUGCUGCUAUUAUUAUUGUUGUUGUUGUUUUUUUGAGACAGGGUUUCUUUGUGUAGCCCUGAAGACCAUACCAUGCUAGCCUUAAAAGUCACAGCGAUUCACCUGUCUGCCUCCUGGAGUGCUAGGAUUAAAGGUAUACAUCACUGCUGCCUGGCUUCCAGCCACCACUGGCUAUCAGAUAGAUUUGAAAUCAGAUCCUUGAUAACCUGAGCAGGUUCUUUUCUUCACAGUUCCCUAACUGAUACGUAGCAGAAGAUUUAGUGUGGAAGACACUUGGGAAGGAAAAGGCCACAAGCCAAGAUCACAGGCAACGUACAGAAGCCAUGCAGCAUCUCUUUCCACCAGAGUACCCACAAAAGAACUUAGACAUGGGGAUACCUUGACCUAGCCCAGAGAAACCAGUGAGUUCUGACCAACAGCAGUCAAGACAGUAAAACCACAGGAAGUCACUGUGCUUGUAAUUUCUUAAAGGAAUAAGAACCAGGAAUCACUCACAGAUGGACAUGAGGCAUCCUGUUUUUCAUUUCCUAAAAGUCUCUUUACAUGUCCUUCUCAGGGGAAGUAGAUGCUGUUUGUGGAGGCGGGCUUCAAAGACUGGACUGUCAGUAACACUUCUGCCCAGGUCAGCAGACUGUUGCAGGAGCCCCGUGGUAUGUGUACCCAGUGUGAGGAUAAGCCGAGGUUAACACAAGCAGUGGGAAUUCCCCAGGCCAGUGUAAGCUGCUUAUGCUGUUAUCCUGGGCAGCCUUGAGGCAGGAGAGUAACGUACAAAGGAUUAUUUAUGAAUUUGCCAGUUAUUUUUGAAAGAAUUAGCAUCACAGUGAAAGUGACAUAAAAUAAUUUUAGUAGAAACAGUUUGGUGAAAUAAAGGCCAUUUGGGAGUAUUUGAACAGCACCAUAGUGCAUUCUGGGUUCUGGCAUGUUCACAGCAGGAGGAAAGGCAUUUUUUAGCAUCUGGUUUUUGUUUUUGAGACUGGGGCUCAUAUAUCCCAGACCAGCUUCAAACAUGUAACUGGGGACCUUGAUCAGAUCUUGAUCCUCCUGUCUCUACCUCCUAACUACUGCCGUUCUAGGUCUGCACCUUGGCACUCUGUCUUAUGUGGGGUCUUGUGUCUGCCAGGCAAGCAUUCCACUGACUGAGCCAUAUCCUUCGCCUCAUCUGCUCAUUUUUGGUUUGGUUUUUGUUUUAAGAAAUUGUAUCAAUUCCUUGGGCUGGAGGGUAUUCUCAUCAGAUUGGCCCCAAAUGUAUAUACAACAGUAACCCUGCUCUUUGUUGUUGUUGUUUUGUUUUGUUUGUUUUUUCGAGACAGGGUUUCUCUGUGUAGCCCUGACUGUCCUGGAACUCACUCUGUAGACCAACCUGACCUUGAACUCAGAAAUCCACCUGCCUCUGCCUCUGCCUCCCAAGUGCUGGGAUUAAAGGCGUGCACCGCCACCACCUGGCUGUAACUCUGCUCUUAAACUAGUAAAGACACAAGCUGUGUGUGUAUGUGUGUGUGAGACUUAAUAACUUCUACUUUCUGAGGUUAGUCAUGUAUAGUAUUUCAGAUAAAUAAAAUCCAUGCCUAAAGC